CCUACGGGACGCACCAGUGGGGAAUAUUGCACAAUGGGCGCAAGCCUGAUGCAGCCAUGCCGCGUGUGUGAAGAAGGCCUUCGGGUUGUAAAGUACUUUCAGCGAGGAGGAAGGCAUUAAGGUUAAUAACCUUGGUGAUUGACGUUACUCGCAGAAGAAGCACCGGCUAACUCCGUGCCAGCAGCCGCGGUAAUACGGAGGGUGCAAGCGUUAAUCGGAAUUACUGGGCGUAAAGCGCACGCCGGCGGUCUGUCAAGUCGGAUGUGAAAUCCCCAGGCUCAACCUGGGAACUGCAUUCGAAACUGGCAGGCUAGAGUCUUGUAGAGGGGGGUAGAAUUCCAGGUGUAGCGGUGAAAUGCGUAGAGAUCUGGAGGAAUACCGGUGGCGAAGGCGGCCCCCUGGACAAAGACUGACGCUCGGGUGCGAAAGCGUGGGGAGCAAACAGGAUUAGAUACCCCAGUAGUC
rnacentral:rRNA from 1 species